GCGGCCGUGGUGAAAUUGGUAAACACGCCAGGUUUAGGUCCUGGUAGCGAAAGCUUUGGGGGUUCAAGUCCCUUCGGCCGCACCA
rnacentral:tRNA from 1 species